CUGACAUUAAUCCUACUAAACACAACUCGCACUGGCUUGCAGAUAAACAUAAACAACUAACACACUUUAUACAGUCAUCCAAUUUACUCCCAGCAGGUCACCGCAGCACUAUGACUAAGUUUGAAACUCUGUGCUCUGUCCAAUAACUAAAAAGCAAGCAUAUUUCUACUAUGUACAACUUUCAACACUCUGCACAACAAAAGAAUACCCC